CACCGUCAAGCGCCGUUAACGGAGAUUUCAACAAAGGGGUUUACACGUCGAUGAAGAAGUAUGGGUACAACGUCAAUCUAAAGAACAACAACAAGAACAAAGGAAUCGAUGAAGAUCAUCAGAUUCAGAAAGGUGGGAAGAAGAACAGAAAGAAUCAGCAGAACAAUAAUAACCAGAGGAACGAAGACGACAAGAACAAUGGUUUGGACAAGAGGUUUAAGACUCUUCCUCCAGCAGAAGCU
rnacentral:sRNA from 1 species